rnacentral:rRNA from 1 species
GACGAACGCUGGCGGCGUGCUUAACACAUGCAAGUCGAACGGAAAGGCCCUGCUUUUGUGGGGUGCUCGAGUGGCGAACGGGUGAGUAACACGUGAGUAACCUGCCCUUGACUUUGGGAUAACUUCAGGGAACUGGGGCUAAUAUCGCAUAUGAUCUCCUGCUGCGUGUUGGGGGUUGGAAAGUUUCGGCGGUUUUGGAUGUACUCGCUGCUUAUCAGCUUGUUUGUGUGGUAGUGGCUUACCAAGGCUUUGACGGGUAGCCGGCAUGAGAGGGUGAACGGCCACAAUGGGACUAAGGGACGGCCCAGAAGCGUACGGGAGGCAGUAGGCGAGAAUAUUGCACAAUGGGGGGAAGCGUGAUGCAGAAACGCUGCGUGCGGGAUAACGGCCUUCGGGUGGUAAACAGAUGUCGCAUGUGACGAAGAGGGAGUGACGGUAAUGGGUAAAGAAGCACCGGCUAACUACGUG